rnacentral:rRNA from 1 species
GUCGAGCGAGAAGACGUAGCAAUACGUUUGUAAAGCGGCGAACGGGUGAGGAAUACAUGGGUAACCUACCCUCGAGUGGGGAAUAACUAGCCGAAAGGUUAGCUAAUACCGCAUACGACUCUCGGUCUGCGGAUCGAGAGGGAAAGCGAUACCGUGGGUAUCGCGCUCAUGGAUGGGCUCAUGUCCUAUCAGCUUGUUGGUGAGGUAACGGCUCACCAAGGCUUCGACGGGUAGCUGGUCUGAGAGGACGAUUAGCCACACUGGCACUGCGACACGGGCCAGACUCCUACGGGAGGCAGCAGUAAGGAAUAUUGCGCAAUGGGCGACAGCCUGACGCAGCGACGCCGCGUGGGGGAUGAAGGUCUUCGGAUUGUAAACCCCUUUCGGCAGGGAAGAUGGAACGGGUAACCGUUCGAACGGUACCUGCAGAAGCAGCCACGGCUAACUUCGUGCCAGCAGCCGCGGUAAUACGAAGGUGGCAAGCGUUGUUCGGAUUUACUGGGCGUACAGGGAGCGUAGGCGGUUGGGUAAGCCUUUCGUGAAAUCUCCGGGCCUAACCCGGAAAGUGCGGAGGGGACUGCUCGGCUAGAGGAUGGGAGAGGAGCGCGGAAUUCCCGGUGUAGCGGUGAAAUGCGUAGAGAUCGGGAGGAAGGCCGGUGGCGAAGGCGGCGCUCUGGAACAUAUCUGACGCUGAGGCUCG